rnacentral:rRNA from 1 species
UACAGAGGUCCCGAGUGUUGUUCGGAUUCAUUGGGCGUAAAGGGUGCGUAGGCGGUCUGCUAAGUUUGGUGUGAAAUCCCGGGGCUCAACCCUGGAAUGGCAUUGAAUACUGGCGGACUAGAGUACCGGAGAGGAAACUGGAAUUUACGGUGUAGCAGUGAAAUGCGUAGAGAUCGUAAGGAAGACCAGUGGCGAAGGCGAGUUUCUGGACGGUAACUGACGCUGAGGCACGAAGGCCAGGGGAGCAAACGGG